rnacentral:lncRNA from 1 species
AGACUUCAUUCUAUAUCACAGUUUUAUUCAAAGAGAAGUCACAAACAUUCAUAUGUUUACUACCCAAGUUUCACUUCCUUCCCAAACCCGAACCAAUACCGCUCUGAAUGCCCAUUCAAUCGACAUCAUCUAGCUCAACAAAGAUUUUACGAAACAAGACUACAAGCAAAAAAUCAACGACAGUCUCGCAUCAAACUAUUAUCCCGAUCAAAUAUAUCAAGGUAUGUAUAUAAUUCAGCCAAAGAAAAGGUUAACUCCCCUUUCUCAGUCUAUAAAGCUUUGCUACCUCUCUUGCUCUAUUGCUACUUUUUUGAAGGAUCUAUGUCUCUCUGAGACGUUCAUAAAAUUUUCUGAUUAUUCUCACGUAUACUUUUCUAUAUUUUUGAUUGUUUUUUUUUUUUUCAUUAAGCUAGAAAGCUGAUAGUUUGGACGAUUAUAAUCAAGAAGUAACAAAAUUCUAUAAUUUUUAUUCCUUGUUUCCGCAAUUAUUUCCAAAUUUUGUGUAUGUUUUGUUUCAUUUCUUUACAGUGUAUAAGUUUUAUUGUAUGAAAUCAAAUUAUUACAUACGCUAGGGUAGAAAUGAAAAAGGAGAAGAUUAUGUGUUACGAAAAAAAAAAUUAUACAUCUUAAGAGAUAAGAACGAGAAAUCGAUGGCAAUAAUACAUAUAAUAUAAUAUAGAAUGGUUAAAAGAAUAAAUUUAAUUGAGACCGAAAAUUAUCACAUUAAUAUUUUAUAAUGAAACGUUACUGACAAAGUAGUAUAGCUUUGGGUAUUCCAAAGUAAAAGUCUAUCUUUCGUUUAAUUUCUUUAUUAUCUCUUGCAACGGUUCUAAUAUAAUAUGGUUGAACUAAUUAUUAUACAACAAUCAGAUACUCUCUCCAAGGUAGUGAGAUUCAAUUUUGUAUUUAAAUUCCUCUUUAUCCAUAAAUAUAUAUAUAAAAGAAAACUUUAAAUUAGUGAAUAAAAUUUACUAAUUAUAAUUUCAACAGAAAUAUUAAAUUUUAUAAGAUUCAUCUUUAUUUGAAAAAACUCUCUCUUGAGAGAAAAUAAAAUAGUUUAUUGUAUUUAUUUCGGGUCUUACACCUCCCCCUUUAGGUUUGCUUUCGUUUUUCCUUUUCUUGUAAUGAAUCUCUUUUUUAUGUGACAUUCCAUUUUCAUUUUCCAUUCUUUCUAUAUUCUCCAUUUUCGUUUCUCUCAUUAGUUGUUGUUUCAUUUUAUUGUUUUGGGUUCCAAUUCCAAUUUCGCAUUUCAAUCCAUUUACGUUUUUGUAUUCCAGUUCUACACUUUAAGUUUCUUUUCCCUUAAUUUGGUUUUCCCUAAUUUCGUUUGCAAGUUCUAUUAUGUUUUUGUUUUGUUCAUUUUCGUAGCAGAUUUAAUGUUGAAUUGCUUUUCGUUUUAUUGUUGUGAUUUCAUGUUAAUGUUAGGUUAGGUGUGCUUGGUUGGAAAUUAGCAAAAUUACAUCAUUCUUUGAGAUUUCUGGAUUGUAAUUGUGUUUCUAUUGCUCUCGCUUGACAUGCUACUAAAUCUGGUUGUGUUGUUAGAAUGGGUAUAUGCUUAGUUACCCUAUUAGUGAUUAAUCAAUCUAUAUGGAAUACAUUAGAUGGAAUUGGUGUGUUGCGUUCGCUUAGUUCAUAAUUAUGAAAACAUGGUUAAUCUUCGCUUAGUUGGUUAGCUUGUGUUGGAUUAGGGGUUAGAGUAGUGUGUUGUUGGUUAAUCUGUGAUUGGAAGCAUGUAAUUGAGCUAGUGAUCAACCGUUUUAAAUCUGUGUUUGAUUCUGUGGUUUAGUAGUUUAUUUCAGUUCAUAAGUCUCCUCACAAACCCCUCAUUCCCUCCACCAAGUGCUUGACCUAACUCCUGAACUACAUUCGGUCCUUGAGAGACGACCUAGGAGUCACUUCCUAGUAUUAUACUACACUUAAUUAAGCCAUAAAUUUGAUUCGAGUACGACCUCGAUCAAAUUUUGUCGCCGUUGUUUUUUAUUUUUCUUUGUAGUUUUUGUUUUCUUUGUAAGUUUUUUAUUUUCUAGGUCAUUUUUGUUGUGUCUUGUGUAUAGCUUUGCAUAUUUCUCUUGCUUUUUGGAGUUUUUUUAGGUUGUAGACUCAUCCUUCACUUCACUUGAUUGAUACUGAUUAGUUUGAAAUCCUUGUAUUUCUCUAACUACAAGAUGAUUAUGACGUUUGAGAGGCUGAUUUAAUUGUGACAAAAAUACCCUGUGUGAGAAUGAGUCACUUCAUGUUCUUUCUUGUGUGUUUUAUAUCUCUUGAUUGCUUGCACGGAUGCCUUGGCUUGACUCUUUUUGAUGAUUCUUGAUUCAUAUGCAUGUUUGGAAGUGAUAAAGGAAAUUUUGUUCUUGAGUCUCUCUAGCCAAAUAAGCUUAUCUUGUUUUGAUCAUUUGAUAACCUUUGUUGAGCCUAUGCUUUCUCCUAUUCUUUGUUUUCAAGCUCAUUAAUUAUCCUUAAGUGAAAAACCAUGGUUACCUUUGUUAGAAAACAAUCGGUACCGGUUUUGCACAAGGGAAAUAAAACUCAGAGUUCGGUCAAUUUUAAAAAUGGUUCCUUUAAUUUUCUUACAAACGUUUUAUCAAACAGUUGAUGUGCAGAAAAUGUAAAGAGUGUAGGAAGUAGAAAAAUUCACACAAAGGACAUUUAUAUUGGUUCGAAUCAAAAGAUUCUAUAUCCACUUGUUAGUUACUAUAAAGAGUGAUUAACAGUUUCACUAAAAUCAGUUUUACAAAUUACAGAAUAGUGAAUGUAAAUAGAAAGAUAAAACCUUCCUUCGACGAACAAACCAAAAGGGAACUUGCUUCGACAAGCGAACCAGAAGCAGACAGUGAGCACUUUCCUUCAACAGACAAACCGGAAGAGUGCAGCAUGAACCAUCCUUCAACAAACGAAUCGGAAGCAACAACUUUGCCAACUUGAAGAGAAUCACUCCGACCUUUGACACACAAAGCGCGAGCUUCUCCUAUUCACAAAACUUGACAAAAGCAAGAACUAGCACUUGAGAACUUCCUCAGUUUUCACUGUAUUCUCAAAUUUGCAAAGUUUUUUUUUUCUAAAGUGUUUGGCAAAGGUAUAUAUAGCCUACUGGUCUGAAACUGAAGAGACACAUUACAACUGCCAAUGAUAAUCGAUUAUUGUAAGUGAUAAUCGAUUAUCUGCGAGACUUGGAAUAGUUUGAAUAUUAACAUUUCAAACCAGUUGGCUUUAGUUCUUAAUAUCCUUCUACUGUUUGGUUUGAACACUGAUUGCCUUCUACCGUUCGGCUCGUCUCCUUACAGCAUUUCAGCGUUCGGUGCUAAUUGCUUGGUCUCGGUCAUGCUCUCCACCGCUCUGCUCAAUACUUGUAAACUUUCCAACUCUUAACAUUUUCUUCUGCAGUGUUAGUUGGACACAAUAUUAUUCGGUUUGUGUUUGACAUCAUUCGAUCUUCAAUUGUUAUGCAUCAUU